GUGCUUGCUUUGGCAGCACAUAUAUUAAAAUUGGAAUGGCACAGAGAAGGUUAGCAUGGCCCCUGGGCAAGGAUGACAUGAUAUUAAAAGAAAAAAGAAGAAUGAGC
ensembl:snRNA U6 U6 spliceosomal RNA